rnacentral:rRNA from 1 species
GAAACCUGCCCCGAAGACCGGGAUAGCCCGGGGAAACCCGGAUUAAUACCGGAUAUUCUCUACAGAUCGCAUGGUCUGUUGAGGAAAUGCUUUUGUGCUUCGGGAUGGUCUCGCGACCUAUCAGCUAGUUGGUGAGGUAACGGCUCACCAAGGCAACGACGGGUAGCUGGUCUGAGAGGACGAUCAGCCACACUGGGACUGAGACACGGCCCAGACUCCUACGGGAGGCAGCAGCAGGGAAUCUUGUCCAAUGGGCGAAAGCCUGAGACAGCGACGCCGCGUGGGGGAUGAAGGCCUUCGGGUUGUAAACCCCUUUCAGGAGGGACGAAAUUGACGGUACCUCCAGAAGAAGCCCCGGCCAACUACGUGCCAGCAGCCGCGGUAAUACGUAGGGGGCGAGCGUUGUCCGGAAUUAUUGGGCGUAAAGGGCUCGUAGGCGGCUUGGCAAGUCGAUCGUGNAAAGCCCGGGGCUUANCCCCGGGGAGGCCGGUCGAUACUGCCAUGGCUUGGGUCCGG